GUCUGUGAUAGCUCAGUUGGUAGAGCAUAAGGCUCUUAAUCUCAGGGUUGUGGGUUUGAGCCCCACACUGGGCA
rnacentral:tRNA from 1 species